rnacentral:rRNA from 1 species
CCUACGGUGCGCAGCAGUGAGGAAUAUUGGUCAAUGGGCGAGAGCCUGAACCAGCCAAGUCGCGUGAAGGAUGACGGAUCUAUGGUUUGUAAACUUCUUUUAUAUGGGAAUAAAGUGAGGAACGUGUUCCUUUUUUUAUGUACCAUAUGAAUAAGCAUCGGCUACCUCCGUGCCAGCAGCAGCGGUAAUACGGAGGAUGCGAGCGUUAUCCGGAUUUAUUGGGUUUAAAGGGUGCGUAGGUGGUUAAUUAAGUCAGCGGUGAAAGUUUGUGGCUCAACCAUAAAAUUGCCGUUGAUACUGGUAGACUUGAGUAUAUUUGAGGUAGGCGGAAUGCGUGGUGUAGCGGUGAAAUGCAUAGAUAUCACGAAGAACUCCGAUUGCGAAGGCAGCUUACUAAACUGCCACUGACAUUGAUGCUCGAAAGUGUGGGUAUCAAACAGGAUUAGAUACCCGAGUAGUC